CUUUAUGGGCGGGCCGUGGCAGGGAGGCGUUCGCGCCUGCCGGUAGUGGUUACAGAGCCGGUCGACCAACCCUGUCAAUGUGCCCGCUCACCCAC
rnacentral:antisense_RNA from 1 species